rnacentral:tRNA from 1 species
GGAGAGAUGGUCGAGUGGUCUAUGGCUCCAGUCUUGAAAACUGGCAUGGUGUUUCAAUACCAUCGAGGGUUCGAAUCCCUCUCUCUCCU